AUGGAUCUUUCUUUCUCUUUCACUUACUUCACUCAACAUCCAAAACUACUCUUCUUCUUCUUCUUCCUCUUUUUUUUUUUUUUUUUUUUGGUGAGGACAUCAGAUUUUCUCAAGGCUCCGUGGACAGCAUCACAUGACAAUGGUCUGGUUGCUCGGUACACACAAGGUGGUCUCCACCCACAGCCGGGCAAGAAUUCUGUUACUCGGCAAGCAGUGAUCCAAACAUCAUAUCAAGACCUCGAAUUCCUGCUAUCCCAGCACUCGAGGAGUCUCCUCUUUCCUUUCACAGAAUCUAGGGAGUUUCUAGUCAUUUACUCAGGGUCUUUCCGUGAUCAUUGCCUGACGAUGGUUUACAAACUCUUCCACCUCUGACUUUGAGAUCAUAGUUAUACGGAUGCCAUGCCCUCCUUGGACCUGAUGUGAGAUCAGAACAACCCAAUAUAUAUAUACAAACUCCAGGGUAAGGGUGACUUUAUGCAAGAAAAUACUGGGUGCUCUUUAGAGAGAGAAUAGUACUGCGAGGGGGAGGGCAGUGGCAAAAGCCGUAUAUGUCUACUAGAAUGAUUUCUUCUCAUUCUGAGUACAGGAGACCCCAAGCCAAGGUCCCUGCCUGCCUUCAACAAUUUCAGUUCUGGGAAAAGACAGACCCUCCAUUCUCCCUCCAACUCCGGCUGUUAUUUUCCAAUACCCAGCAUAAUUUAUUCUUUUUCAGCUGCCACAUACGAAUUGAGAAUCACUGUCAACACAUCUCUGAAUGUCCUGCCUACAUCUCUAGCCAUUGUCCGUCUGUGUUUGGCAGCUGUCCACUCUUCUUCAGUAUAUACUGACUUAGCAGUGCUAUUCUGAGUGUAAGAAGGCUUUUCCAGGUUGCUUUCCUUUCUAGCAAUGUUCUGAGUUCCUUCCAACGUCUGUGUUUUCCAAGAUGCAAUGCAUUCUGUUUCUCUGCAGUUGGGGAGUUCCCUCUAGCCAAGAAUUACAUUUUGUUAAAUCGUCCCUUCCAAAUGUUUUCUCUACAACCACUGUAAUGAACUGACAGAUGGGUGUCUGAUCUUCAGAAAGUAUAAUGAAGAUUUAUUUUCUAAACUGUUAGGACAAGCCAAGGUUAUCAUACAAAAAACUGAACACACUGCAAAUUAUGCUCAAUUUAAACCAAAAGUGGCAAUUUCAUUGGCUAUGGCUUUUCCUGCUGAAUCAUGUUGAUAAUAUAGAUGCAUUUGUACACCCAGAGCUUAGAUCAUCGUGUUGAUUGCCUUGGUGAUAGACGCUAAUUUUUGAGAGGACUGGAACUUCCAUGAAUUCCCUCAAUCUUGUCAUACUCAGGAUAACAUAUUAUACAUGUUAACUCAGCAGGG
rnacentral:lncRNA from 12 species